rnacentral:tRNA from 1 species
GCGGGGAUAGCUCAGUGGUGGAGCGCAUGCUUAGCAUGCAUGAAGUCCUGGAUUCAAUCCCUAGCACCUCCA